rnacentral:rRNA from 1 species
UACGUAGGGGGCGAGCGUUGUCCGGAAUUACUGGGCGUAAAGCGCAUGUAGGCGGGCGACUAAGUCAGGGGUGAAAACCGUGGGCUCAACCUACGGCUUGCCCUUGAUACUGGUCGUCUUGAGUACAGGAGAGGGAAGCGGAAUUCCCGGUGUAGCGGUGAAAUGCGUAGAUAUCGGGAGGAAGGUCGGUGGCGAAGGCGGCCUCCUGGGCCUGCACUGACGCUGAGGCGCGAAAGCGUGGGGAGCAAACAGG